UACGUAGGGGGCAAGCGUUAUCCGGAUUUACUGGGUGUAAAGGGAGCGUAGACGGCCUUGCAAGUCUGGUGUGAAAGCCCGGGGCUCAACCCCGGGACUGCAUUGGAAACUGCAUGGCUGGAGUGCAGGAGAGGUAAGCGGAAUUCCUAGUGUAGCGGUGAAAUGCGUAGAUAUUAGGAGGAACACCAGUGGCGAGGGCGGAUGACUGGACGGCAACUGACGGUGAGGCGCGAAAGCGUGGGGAGCAAACAGG
rnacentral:rRNA from 1 species